rnacentral:lncRNA from 1 species
CGAGGGCAGAGCUCGAGAAGGAUGCGGGCAACGUCGACAGAAGACGCCGAGUAGCGCGAAUCUGCACGGACGUGCGAAGACAGUCAAAACGAAGAAAAGAAACAAAGGCAUUUCAUUAAAUUAAAGCAAGUGUUACAACGGCUGGUGGUACGGCGGGAAAAAAUACACAACACAUAACAACAGCUAACACGGAUACAAAAAAGAAAUAGGAGAGAAGAAGA